AACUGAUACUACCUGCGGGAACCUGCGGAGGGAUCAUUACCAAUUUUCAUAUGUUAGUUUGUCAUCCCUGUCAAAGGGGGUCACACAACUACUAUUAUGUAAACGUUGAACUAGAUCAAUUGGUGUGGAUUGCUUGGGAAUGGAAGAAGCGACAAGCCUCUUCCGGACAGGCAAACCCCACACUGAUGCCACCUUUUCAAUAUAACAUACUACUCGUACAUACUACAAACAAACAAACAA
rnacentral:misc_RNA from 1 species